AGAGUUUGAUCAUGGCUCAGGACGAACGCUGGCGGCGUGCUUAACACAUGCAAGUCGAGCGAUGAAGUUUCUUCGGAAAUGGAUUAGCGGCGAACGGGUGAGGAACACGUGAAGAAUCUGCCCUCCACUUUGGGAUAACACCGGGAAACCGGUGCUAAUACCGAAUAUUGAAACAUAAGUGGCAUCACUGAGUUUUGAAAGAAUUUCGGUGGAGGAUGACUUCGCGGCCUAUCAGCUAGUUGGUGAGGUAAUGGCUCACCAAGGCAACGACGGGUAGCCGGCCUGAGAGGGCGACCGGCCACACUGGGACUGAGACACGGCCCAGACUCCUACGGGAGGCAGCAGUGGGGAAUAUUGGGCAAUGGAGGAAACUCUGACCCAGCGACGCCGCGUGCGGGAUGAAGGCCUUCGGGUUGUAAACCGCUUUCAGUAGGGAAGAAGCGAAAGUGACGGUACCUACAAAAGAAGCACCGGCUAACUAUGUGCCAGCAGCCGCGGUAAUACAUAGGGUGCAAGCGUUGUCCGGAAUUAUUGGGCGUAAAGAGCUCGUAGGUCGUUUGUUACGUCGGAUGUGAAAACCUGAGGCUCAACCCUCAGCCUGCAUUCGAUACGGGCAAACUAGAGU
rnacentral:rRNA from 1 species